rnacentral:rRNA from 1 species
UACAGAGGGUGCGAGCGUUAAUCGGAAUUACUGGGCGUAAAGCGCGCGUAGGUGGUUAGAUAAGUUGGAUGUGAAAGCCCUGGGCUUAACCUGGGAACGGCAUUCAAAACUGGCUGACUAGAGUACAGUAGAGGUGAGUGGAAUUUCCGGUGUAGCGGUGAAAUGCGUAGAGAUCGGAAGGAACACCAGUGGCGAAGGCGACUCACUGGACUGAUACUGACGCUGAGGCGCGAAGGCGUGGGGAGCAAACAGG